rnacentral:rRNA from 1 species
CUUAAAUGAAUUGACGGGGGCCCGCACAAGCGGUGGAGCAUGUGGUUUAAUUCGAAGCAACGCGAAGAACCUUACCAGGUCUUGGCAUACUCGUGCUAUUCCUAGAGAUAGGAAGUUCCUUCGGGACACGGGAUACAGGUGGUGCAUGGUUGUCGUCAGCUCGUGUCGUGAGAUGUUGGGUUAAGUCCCGCAACGAGCGCAACCCUUAUUGUUAGUUGCCAUCAUUAAGUUGGGCACUCUAGCGAGACUGCCGGUAAUAAACCGGAGGAAGGUGGGGAUGACGUCAAAUCAUCAUGCCCCUUAUGACCUGGGCUACACACGUGCUACAAUGGUUGGUACAACGAGUCGCAAGACAGUGAUGUCAAGCUAAUCUCUUAAAGCCAAUCUCGGUUCGGAUUGUAGGCUGCAACUCGCCUACAUGAAGUCGGAAUCGCUAGUAAUCGCGGAUCAGCACGCCGCGGUGAAUACGUUCCCGGGCCUUGUACACACCGCCCGUCACACCACGAGAGUUUGUAAUACCCAAAGCCGGUGAGCUAACCUUUUAGGAGGCAGCCGUCUAAGGUAGGAUAGAUGAUUGGGGUGAAGUCGUAACAAGGUAGC